CUCGUAGGCGGUUCGGUAAGUCGGGUGUGAAAACUCUGGGCUCAACCCAGAGAGGCCACCCGAUACUGCUGUGACUAGAGUGCGGUAGGGGAGCGGGGAAUUCAUGGUGUAGCGGUGAAAUGCGCAGAUAUCAUGAGGAACACCAGCGGCGAAGGCGCCGCUCUGGGCCGUAACUGACGCUGAGGAGCGAAAGCAUGGGUAGCAAACA
rnacentral:rRNA from 1 species